rnacentral:rRNA from 1 species
AUGAGCAUGAUGGUGGGGGUGGGCGAUCUUGUGCUGGCUGCUCCGGCGAUCCUGCUCGCCUUGCUCCUGACUCUGGUGCUGAGCCACUUCCUGCCUUUGCUCCUCAACCCCAAGGCUCCGAGGGGCAGCUUUGGAUGGCCCCUUGUUGGCGAGACCCUCAGGUUCCUCACCCCUCACGCCUCCAACACGCUGGGUAGCUUCCUGGAGGAUCACUGCUCCAGGUACGGGAGGGUGUUCAAGUCCCAUCUGUUCUGCACCCCCACCGUAGUGUCCUGUGACCAGGAGCUGAACCACUUCAUCCUGCAGAAUGAGGAGAGGCUGUUCCAGUGCAGCUACCCCAGGCCAAUUCAUGGCAUACUGGGCAAGUCCUCCAUGCUGGUGGUCCUGGGGGAGGACCACAAGCGGCUCAGGAACCUUGCUCUGGCCCUGGUCACCUCCACGAAGCUCAAGCCAAGCUACCUUGGCGACAUUGAGAGGAUUGCGCUGCACAUAGUCGGAUCAUGGCAUGGCAAGGGCGGCAACAUCACCUUCUGCGAGGAGGCAAGAAAGUUUGCAUUCAGUGUGAUAGUGAAGCAGGUGCUGGGGCUGUCACCGGAGGAGCCUGUCACUGCCAUGAUACUGGAGGACUUCCUCACCUUCAUGAAGGGCCUCAUCUCUUUCCCUCUCCGCAUCCCAGGGACCCCAUACGCCAAAGCUGUCCAGGCCAGAGAGAGGAUAUCAAGCACUGUGAAGGGCAUUAUCGAGGAGAGGAGGAAGGCUGACUGCUGCAAGAGGGAUGAUUUCCUCAACGUGCUCCUGUCAACCGAUGAACUCUCUGACGAGGAGAAAGUUAGUUUUGUGCUGGACUCCCUGCUAGGAGGAUAUGAGACCACCUCACUCAUGAUCUCCAUGGUCGUCUACUUCCUUGGGCAGUCAGCUCAAGAUCUGGACCUGGUGAAGAGGGAGCAUCAAGGCAUAAGAUCUACCAAAGCAAAGGAGGAGUGCUUGAGCUCCGAGGACUACAAGAAGAUGGAAUAUACCCAACAUGUUAUCAAUGAGGCGCUGAGAUGUGGAAACAUUGUCAAGUUUGUCCACAGGAAGGCCCUCAAAGAUGUCAGAUACAAAGAGUAUCUGAUUCCAUCUGGCUGGAAGGUCCUACCUGUUUUCAGUGCUGUUCAUUUGAACCCCUCGCUUCAUGGAAAUGCCCAACAGUUUCAGCCUUGCAGAUGGGAGGGCCCAAGCCAAGGUACAAGCAAGAAGUUUACGCCGUUCGGCGGUGGCACCAGGCUCUGCCCUGGAUCAGAGCUUGCCAAAGUAGAGGCUGCUUUCUUCCUCCAUCACCUUGUGCUCAAUUUCAGAUGGAAAAUCGAUGGCGAUGACAUUCCAAUGGCAUACCCGUACGUGGAGUUCCCGAGAGGCCUGCCGAUCGAAAUCGAGCCGAUUUGCUCUGAAUCUUGA